rnacentral:ncRNA from 1 species
ACUCUGGAAAGUGAAAUCGAGCGAAGCACGCUCGGUCUCCGCCGAAGGUGAAACCCCGCACCUCCUGAGGGAGCUGCGGGCGAAACUCUCAGGCCCAUGACAGAGGGGG